UACGAAGGGGGCUAGCGUUGCUCGGAAUCACUGGGCGUAAAGGGUGCGUAGGCGGGUCUUUUAAGUCAGGGGUGAAAGCCCAGAGCUCAACUCUGGAAUUGCCUUUGAGACUGAGUGGCUUGAGUACGAGAGAGGUGAGUGGAAUUCCCAGUGUAGAGGUGAAAUUCGUAGAUAUUGGGAAGAACACCGGUGGCGAAGGCGGCUCACUGGCUCGUAACUGACGCUCAUGCACGACAGCGUGGGGAUCAAACAGG
rnacentral:rRNA from 1 species